CAGCCGCCGCGGGAAUACGAAGGGGGCUAGCGUUGUUCGGAUUUACUGGGCGUAAAGCGCACGUAGGCGGAUCGAUCAGUCAGGGGUGAAAUCCCAGAGCUCAACUCUGGAACUGCCUUUGAUACUGUCGAUCUGGAGUAUGGAAGAGGUGAGUGGAAUUCCGAGUGUAGAGGUGAAAUUCGUAGAUAUUCGGAAGAACACCAGUGGCGAAGGCGGCUUACUGGCUCAUACUGGACGCUGAGGUGCGAAAGCGUGGGGAGCAAACAGGAUUAGAUACCCGCGUAGUCCCUGUCUCUUAUAC
rnacentral:rRNA from 1 species